CUUCCCUUCCCCACAUGAGCCCAGUCAGAGGGUGCAGCAGUGUGAAAGCCCUGACCUCCCUGGAAAACCUUCCUUUCAGGGAGCCAGCAGGACACCUCGCCCGGCAAAGACCUCCCAACCUGCUGGCAUAGGUGGGACAGAGAAGGGAUGAUCCUUCGCACUUUAUCUCAUCACCAGCUGGCUGCAUGGCUUUCUGAAUCGCCCUUGUCCUCAGGUUACUUCAUCUGCUAGUUGAGAAAUUGCAAGCUUUUGGGGGAGAAAAACUGUGUAACUAACUCCGGUGUUUUGUCCAUCUGUCAGCAACUGCAAAACCAUUCUCUGUGGCAUAUCAUAAGCAUUCCUACUUCAACCACUGUUUCAAAGUACCUACACAAGCCUUAGGGAAGGCUGUUGCCUGGCUCACAUCCAGGAAAGGUUGCACGGAUCAGGCCGAAUGCAGACAGAGGGCUACAGCCUGGCACACGGAGGUCUGAACGGCACACCUAAGUUUCUACAGUAAAGCCAGGAGCAACCCCACACUCCUUCUCCAUUUCUACACACAAAUAAAGGGCCUUUUAUUUGCUUGACAGUGCUCUUUAUUUUUUUAAUGUGUGGCCUUUUACUGUUCCUUGACUGAGAGUACAGAUACAGGCAUU